rnacentral:sRNA from 1 species
AGCUGAUGCACACGGCGGCUUUUCCUCCCAGUUCCGCCGCGUCAGCUGUUCCCCUCUGGAGGUUUUUAUAACCUUCACACUUAUAAGGGCCCUGGAGCAAUCCGGUGGCCCUCUUUU